CUUACUAACGAACCAUGCUGACUUUCCCUGAUACACUACCUGGAGUACACACGUUCUUUGCAUUACCACCACUCCAGCAUUAGUGAAUGCCAAAUGUUGGAAAUUACACUGGAAUGGCGCAACUGACGAUCUGUACUGACAGAACACAAGCGAUGACAUGAACGUGAGGUCCUGAGUUUGAGAGCAGAUGCUUGAGAGGACAAAAUGGAAAAAGAAAUGAGCACCCCCUCCUAACUGUCCCCUCCAACCACCUCGAUGCCCACCAACAAUAAAAG